rnacentral:rRNA from 1 species
AGGACGAACGCUGGCGGCGUGCUUAACACAUGCAAGUCGAGCGGAAAGGCCCUUCGGGGUACUCGAGCGGCGAACGGGUGAGUAACACGUGAGUAACCUGCCCCAGACUCUGGGAUAACACCGGGAAACCGGUGCUAAUACCGGAUAUGACACGAAGAGGCAUCUCUAUCGUGUGGAAAGAAUUUCGGUCUGGGAUGGACUUGCGGCCUAUCAGCUUGUUGGUGAGGUAAUAGCUCACCAAGGCGACGAC